UGGGGCCCUGGAGCCGCUUCUUCCUGGAGCUGAAUGGGGAAUUAGCUCUAGUCCUUACAAGGACUUUCCUUGUCGAAUCUCCUGCAAGCCGGUACAGCAGACACAGGAGCAAAUCUCACCGAACAGUGCCCUUCUAAGCUGAAUAGAAACGAACGCAGGCGAUGAUGGAAGUUCAGCGGUGUUCGGGAGUUUCUGUAUCCGAUUU